UGGGGAAUAUUGGGCAAUGGGCGAAAGCCUGACCCAGCGACGCCGCGUGAGGGAAGAAGGUCUUCGGAUUGUAAACCUUAGUUGACAGGGAAGAAACAAAUGACGGUACCUGUCGAGGAAGCCACGGCUAACUACGUGCCAGCAGCCGCGGUAAUACGUAGGUGGCAAGCGUUAUCCGGAUUUACUGGGUGUAAAGGGUGUGUAGGCGGGAAGGCAAGUCAGAUGUGAAAACUAUGGGCUCAACUCAUAGCCUGCAUUUGAAACUGUCUUUCUUGAGAGUCGGAGGGGUAAUCGGAAUUCCCGGUGUAGCGGUGAAAUGCGCAGAGAUCGGGAGGAACAUCAGUGGCGAAGGCGGAUUACUGGACGACAACUGACGCUGAGACACGAAAGCGUGGGGAGCAAACAGG
rnacentral:rRNA from 1 species